rnacentral:tRNA from 1 species
GGAAAUAGCUCAAUGGCAGAGCACAUGCUUAGCAUGCAUGAGGGCCUGGGUUCAAUCCCCAGUAAUUCCA